rnacentral:lncRNA from 1 species
UGGUGGUUUUUAAGCUGGAUGAUGUUGGAUCCAUCAGAUUGUCGUCCGUCCAAACCCUGAAGCCAUGUCCAGGACGAUAGAUGAGAAGACGCUGAUCUCAAAACAUAGCAGAUGGAACUCCAGUUAUCUGGAGCAGAGGGAACAAGUUAACCAUAGGGAGUCAUUUUGCUAAGUCUCUUGCUUGCUGUUAUUGUCACCAGAGGAAAACCUAGAAGCCGAGGAGGAGUUGUAAGAAAAGAGGAACGUGUGGCUCUUCAGAUAAGCACGCGUGAAUGUUUAUCACGGGCUAAGGGAGGAGAAACAAAAACACAGUGAGCUAAAUAGUUGUUGUGUCUGACUUUUCACAUUCGUGGUUUUUACUCAAACCUUACCACAAUCUCGACGGCACAAGGACCUUGGCGUAAAGGUCUCCCCUCCACUUUUCCAGACAAGGGAAACUGAAAUUGAUGAUCUCAACCCACAGUAGACCACCAACCUCAGGACUUCCAUGCAUCUGACACCAGCAGAGCAAAACAGUCCUAUGAAUCUGGGGAGGAUGAUGAAAGAAUCUGACCUAUGGACACAUGGCAGAGGCAUGCAGAAAACUGGUAUCACCACAUCUCUUCCUUAUUUCAUCAUCUUGAUCUCAUACUUCAAUUUGAGCAAAAGUUUUGAUAAGUUUUCCUUAACCAGAGGAGAAGACACAUCAAUUUCCAAUGCUAGAAGCCUAACCAAGAACCCCAAGCUAAGUCAUUGGAAUCAAAGAGAAGACACCUGGAAAAUCAUGACAUCCUAUUGGCAAGCCAAGCAAGUCUAGAUGCAUCUCCAGGACCACACACAUUUUCAAGAGUCUACCACUGUUAGCAACUACUGCAAGGUUUUCCCUGCUAAGAACUAGGGUCAGUUUGUGUAGUGACUGUCAAUGCUUCAUGAGGAACACGAGACCAAGAUGGCGGCUCUCUGCCUUCCCAAAUCUGUCCAACAUGGCCGCUUGGGGGCGCAACUCUCCCCAACAAGCUCAGAGUGCUUCCUUCAUAAUUGGUCCAUCGGAAUAAGUAGUUUUGUGCUAUGAGAAAGCAGUUCUUCUUCCGCUUUACAUCGGGGGAACAACAAGUCCUGUCAUGGCUGCAAGAAAAGAACAACACAGGAUUGAAACAUCAAGACUUUUUUGGUGAAACUGAUCACAGAGAGGGGAGGCAGGAGUGGGGAUGAUAGACCCUAAUACAACCCAGGGAGAUGGCGAGGUGUUCAU